UUCUAAUAAAAUAAUUAUUAGUAAAAUCUGCUCAAUGAAACUUCAAUAGCCGCAGACAUCUGUGCUAAGGUAGCAUAAUCAUUUGUCUUUUAAUUUUAGACUAGAAUGAAAGAUUUAACAUUUCAAAAAAUUUAUUAAUUUUAAAUUUUUAAUUUAUCUUAAAUAUAAAAAGAUAUUUAUACCAUAAAAAGACAACAAGACCCUAUUGAACUUAACUUUAGUUAAACUGGGGAAGUUAAUUAAUUAAAAUUUUAAUUUUAGUUCAAUUUCAAAAAACCCAAUAUUAUUGAAAUAAUCAAGUUACCAUAGGGAUAACAGCAUAAUAUUUUUUUAAAGAUCUUAUUAUAAAAAAAGAUUAUGACCUCGAUGUUGAAUAAAUAUCCUAUUUCAUGCAAGAAUAAAUCAAGGAAGUCUGUUCGACUUUUAAUUAUUUACA
rnacentral:rRNA from 1 species